rnacentral:rRNA from 1 species
AUUGAACGCUGGCGGCAGGCCUAACACAUGCAAGUCGAGCGAGCGGCGGACGGGUGAGUAAUGUAUGGGGACUGCACGAUAGAGGGGGAUAACUACUGGAAACGGUAGCUAAUACCGCAUACUAUCGGAUAACCCAUAUGGGAUGAGCUAGUGGGUGAGGUAAUGGCUUACCUAGGUGACGAUCCCUAGCUGGCCUGAGAGGAUGAUCAGGCACACUGGGACGGAGACACGGCCCAGACUCCGGCGGAGGCAGCAGUGGGGAAUAUUGCGCAAGGGGGGCAAGCCUGAUGCAGCCAUGCCGCGGGUAUGAAGAUGGCGCUAGGGUUGUAAAGUACUUUCAGUCGGGAGGCGGUACCGUCAGAAGAAGCACCGGCUAACUCCGUGCCAGCAGCCGCGGUAAUAC